AAGUCGAACGAUGAAGGGGAGCUUGCUCCCUGGAUUAGUGGCGAACGGGUGAGUAACACGUGAGCAACCUGCCCCUAACUCUGGGAUAACGCUUCGAAAGGAGUGCUAAUACCGGAUACCAGCCAGGAGGACAUCCUCUUGGCCUGAAAGUUUUCGGUUAGGGAUGGGCUCGCGGCCUAUCAGCUAGUUGGUGAGGUAAAGGCUCACCAAGGCGACGACGGGUAUCCGGCCUGAGAGGACGACCGGACACACUGGGACUGAGACACGGCCCAGACUCC
rnacentral:rRNA from 1 species